GCGAACUGCGGGGCGAACCCUGCUCCGCGCGAGAAUUUUUUUGAUGCCUUCUUAUUUGGAGAAAUCUCCAGCUGCUCUGAUGAUAGCCUAAGAAGACUGCACGCUGCUUCCUCUUGAUGCCAAGCCAGGCCCUCUCACAACCUCGGAUCUCAGUCCUUCAUGGAGACCUGGUCCCAGCAGGAAUGGCAGUGCAGGAAAUUGGCGCCCAGAUGGUUCUUCCAUGUGAAGUUGUCUCGGGCUCUGGGCUGACGAGAGAACACCUGGUAACCAGGUUAGCCCUCUGUCAGUCACCCAGGGCAGGGCAGCAUGGUGCGGAUUCAGAGGAGGAAGCUUUUGGCAUCUUGCCUGUGCGUCACAGCCACCGUCUUUCUGCUUGUCACACUCCAGGUCAUGGUUGAGCUGGGGAAGUAUGAAAGGAAGGAGUUUAAAAGUUCCAGUUUGCAAGAUGGACAUACAAAAAUGGAGGAAGCACCUACGCAUCUUAAUUCAUUUCUUAAGAAAGAAGGAUUGACCUUCAACAGGAAAAGAAAAUGGGAAUUGGACAGCUACCCCAUUAUGCUCUGGUGGUCCCCGCUGACGGGGGAGACUGGGAGGUUAGGCCAAUGUGGAGCAGAUGCUUGUUUCUUCACCAUCAACCGGACCUACCUGCAUCAUCACAUGACCAAAGCAUUCCUCUUCUAUGGUAAGCAGGACUUUCGCCUUUCUCCCUUGUCCCUUGUUUGCU
rnacentral:lncRNA from 1 species